GCAAUUGUGGCCUAGUGGAUAGGGUGAUUGACUGGAAAUCAAAAGGUCACUGGUUCGACCAGGAGUCGAAGGUG